AUUGAACGCUGGCGGCAGGCUUAACACAUGCAAGUCGAGCGGAGAUGAGGUGCUUGCACCUUAUCUUAGCGGCGGACGGGUGAGUAAUGCUUAGGAAUCUGCCUAUUAGCGGGGGACAACAUUCCGAAAGGAAUGCUAAUACCGCAUACGUCCUACGGGAGAAAGCAGGGGAUCUUCGGACCUUGCGCUAAUAGAUGAGCCUAAGUCGGAUUAGCUAGUCGGUGGGGUAAAGGCCUACCAAGGCGACGAUCUGUAGCGGGUGUGAGAGGAUGGUCCGCCACACUGGGACUGAGACACGGCCCAGACUCCUACGGGAGGCAGCAGUGGGGAAUAUUGGACAAUGGGGGGAACCCUGAUCCAGCCAUGCCGCGUGUGUGAAGAAGGCCUUAUGGUUGUAAAGCACUUUAAGCGAGGAGGAGGCUACUGAGACUAAUACUCUUGGAUAGUGGACGUUACUCGCAGAAUAAGCACCGGCUAACUCUGUGCCAGCCGCCGCCGUAA
rnacentral:rRNA from 1 species